rnacentral:ncRNA from 3 species
GUUGACAUGACAACUGAAGAGAUAGAUGCUCUUGUUCAUCGGGAAAUCAUCAGUCAUAAUGCCUAUCCCUCACCUCUAGGCUAUGGAGGUUUUCCAAAAUCUGUUUGUACCUCUGUAAACAACGUGCUCUGUCAUGGUAUUCCUGACAGUCGACCUCUUCAGGAUGGAGAUAUUAUCAACAUUGAUGUCACAGUCUAUUACAAUGGCUACCAUGGAGACACCUCUGAAACAUUUUUGGUGGGCAAUGUGGACGAAUGUGGUAAAAAGUUAGUGGAGGUUGCCAGGAGGUGUAGAGAUGAAGCAAUUGCAGCUUGCAGAGCAGGGGCUCCCUUCUCUGUAAUUGGAAACACAAUCAGUAGAAGGGGGCAGAGAACACUAGAUUCUUAUUCAAGCAUUCUAUCGAGCUCUGCAUUCAUGGCUGUGUCUAAAGGGCAUGUCAGCCUUUGAUUCUCUCUGAGAG